GUGUUCUCCUAUAGAUAAUCCAUAUUUUUUUUCUUGCAUGUUGAAUUUACAAACUUUUUUUGUUUUGUUUUUAGUGUCCUCCAGUGUCAUUACUGUGUGUCCAAGUGUCUCUACCUCGAUUGGGGUCAGUCAUCCUGAAGUCAGAUACAUGCAGAAGGAAAUCACCGGACAAAUGCCUGGGUUUGUAAAAGGGCUACUAUUCCAUAAUGGAGCUUUGGGGUGUGGCAGUAGCCCAGGUGGAAGCAGAAAGACAGCAAAGAGUAUGCACCCGGGAGAGUAAACCCACCUGAAGCUUCCACAGUACGUUCGAGAGGAGAAUGACCAUGUGAUACACUGUUCAAGCCACGCAAUUAUAUGAC
rnacentral:lncRNA from 1 species